rnacentral:rRNA from 1 species
GACGGAGGGCGCUAGCGUUGUUCGGAAUCACUGGGCGUAAAGCGACCGCAGGCGGCCUGACAAGUCGGAUGUGAAAGCCCUGGGCUCAACUCAGGAACUGCAUUCGAAACUGGUAGGCUCGAGUACGGGAGAGGGGGGUGGAAUUCCUGGUGUAGGGGUGAAAUUCGUUGAUAUCUGCAGGAACACCAAUGGCGAAAGCAGUCUUCUGGACGAAUACUGACGCUCAGGUUCGAAAGCCAAGGUAGCAAACAGG